rnacentral:rRNA from 1 species
AUUGAACGCUGGCGGCAGGCCUAACACAUGCAAGUCGAGCGGAAACGAAGGGAGCUUGCUCCCAGGCGUCGAGCGGCGGACGGGUGAGUAACACGUGAGAAUCUGCCCAUUAGUGGGAGACAACUCGGGGUAACUCGAGCUAAUACCGCAUAAUCCCUACGGGGGAAAGCAGGGGACCUUUUGGCCUUGCGCUGAUGGAUGAGUCCACGUCGGAUUAGCUUGUGGGUGAGGUAAAGGCGCACUAAGGGGACGAUCCGUAGCGAGUCUGAGAGGAUGAGCAGCCACACUGGGACUGAGACACGGCCCAGACUCCUACGGGAGGCAGCAGUGGGGAAUCUUGGACAAUGGGGGCAACCCUGAUCCAGCCAUGCCGCGUGUGUGAAGAAGGCCUUCGGGUUGUAAAGCACUUUCAGCAGGGAGGAAGGCUUUGGCCGAAUAGGUUGAAGUACUUGACGUUACCUGCAGAAGAAGCACCGGCUAAUUUCGUGCCAGCCGCCGCGGUAA